AUUGAACGCUGGCGGCAGGCCUAACACAUGCAAGUCGAACGAGUGGCGGACGGGUGAGUCAUGUCUGGGAAACUGCCCGAUGGAGGGGGAUAACUACUGGAAACGGUAGCUAAUACCGCAUACCAUCGGAUUUGCCCAGAUGGGAUUGGCUAGUGGGAGGGGUAACGGCUCACCUAGGCGACGAUCCCUAGCUGGUCUGAGAGGAUGACCGUCACCACGGGAACUGAGCCACGGUCCAGAUCCCUACGGGAGGCAGCAGUGGGGAAUAUUGGACAAUGAGCGCAAGCCUAAUGCAGCCAUGCCGCGUGUAUGAAGAAGGCCUUCGGGUUGUAAAGUACUUUCAGCGAGGAGGCGUUACUCGCAGAAGAAGCACCGGCUAACUCCGUGCCAGCAGCCGCGGUAAUUC
rnacentral:rRNA from 1 species